UACGAAGGGGGCUAGCGUUGUUCGGAAUUACUGGGCGUAAAGCGCACGUAGGCGGAUAUUUAAGUGAGGGGUGAAAUCCCAGGGCUCAACCCUGGAACUGCCUCUCAUACUGGGUAUCUCGAGUUCGAGAGAGGUGAGUGGAAUUGCGAGUGUAGAGGUGAAAUUCGUAGAUAUUGGGAAGAACACCGGUGGCGAAGGCGGCGACCUGGUCCGAUACUGACGCUGAGGCGCGAAAGCUAGGGGAGCAAACAGG
rnacentral:rRNA from 1 species